UACGUAGGGUGCGAGCGUUAAUCGGAAUUACUGGGCGUAAAGUGUGCGCAGGCGGUCUCGCAAGUCAAAUGUGAAAGCCCCGGGCUUAACCUGGGAACUGCGCUUGAAACUACGAGACUCGAGUGUGGCAGAGGAAGGUGGAAUUCCACGUGUAGCGGUGAAAUGCGUAGAGAUGUGGAGGAACACCGAUGGCGAAGGCAGCCUUCUGGGCCAACACUGACGCUCAUGCACGAAAGCGUGGGGAGCAAACAGG
rnacentral:rRNA from 1 species